GCUGGGCGUGGUGGUGCAUGCCUGUAGUCCCGGUUACUGGGGAAGCUGAGGCAAGAGGAUUGUUUGAGCCCAUGAGUUCUGGGUUAUAGUGUGCUACGCCGUUCUGGUGUCUGCAUUAAGUUCGGCAUCAAUGUGGUGUCCUCCUGGGAGCAGGGGACCACCUGUUUGUCUAAGGAAGGUGAACUGACCCAGGUUGGAAGGAGGGCAGGUCAAAACUGCUGUGCUGAUCAACAAUGGGAUUGCACCUGGGAGUAGCCACUGCACUCCAGUGUGGUUGACAUGGUGAAGCCCUGUCUCUA
ensembl:misc_RNA Metazoa_SRP Metazoan signal recognition particle RNA